CGCCCUUCAAACCCCGCUUCGGCGGGGUUUUUCAUG
rnacentral:misc_RNA from 1 species